rnacentral:rRNA from 1 species
CCUACGGGGGGCAGCAGUGGGGAAUAUUGGACAAUGGGCGAAAGCCUGAUCCAGCCAUGCCGCAUGAGUGAAGAAGGCCUUAGGGUUGUAAAGCUCUUUUAGUGAGGAAGCGGUACUCACAGAAGAAGUCCUGGCUAACUCCGUGCCAGCAGCCGCGGUAAUACGGAGAGGGCUAGCGUUAUUCGGAAUUAUUGGGCGUAAAGAGCGCGUAGGCUGAUUAGUAAGUUAAAAGUGAAAUCCCGAGGCUCAACCUUGGAAUUGCUUUUAAAACUGCUAGUCUAGAGAUUGAAAGAGGGUAGAGGAAUUCCUAGUGUAGAGGUGAAAUUCGUAAAUAUUAGGAGGAACACCAGUGGCGAAGGCGUCUAUCUGGUUCAACUGACGCUGAGGCGCGAAGGCGUGGGGAGCAAACAGGAUUAGAUACCCUUGUAGUC